CUUUGGAGAAUUGUGCUGUAGUAUCUCUGACUUAAUGUAUCCCGCGGAAUAGGAUUAUUUGAAAUUGAAGGGCAGCAGGAAAAUAACUGAUGCAGGAUCAAGUGAGAGAUAUCAGCUUCUGGUUUCUGAUGGCUGCCACUUGAACGAGUAUGCCUUGCCUGCAAGACAUUUGAAUGACAAGUUGACGUCUGGAGAGCUGUCGGUCUACUCUAUAGUCCGAAUGAACCACUUGUUUACAUCUAUGGUUAAAAAAUUAGGAAGGCCAGAAAUCUGUCUUAAAAUUCAUAAUAUUAAAGGCAUAGGACUACCUAAACAUACAGUGGACAGACAACAAAUGGUAAACAAUAUCUGAACAGCGAUUUGUUGUGGUAACACACAAAAUUACUUCCAACUGAAGAGCCAGUAUUAUAGAAGGUUGAGCCAUCUGAAACUGAACUGGCUGAUGUUUUACUAGGAGAAAACAUUUCCUGUAUAAUUUUCAAAAAUGAAUCACACAUACGCAGAAAAGUGGGAGUGAGUGUGUGAUGAUAAUCCAUGACCUGACAAUACUGGCAAAGGGGUCGGAGGUCAGGGUGAUUAUUGGCAAUCCUGUAGCCUUGCCAGAGGGUGGCUUCAGUACGGCAGCACUGCCUGCACCCACAGGGCCAGCAAUAACGUCUCUUGCAGAGUCCAGGAUACAAGCAAAUGUCAGUGCAGGAUCCACCCACACACAGCCGUUGCUAUCUUAGAUGGGAAAUAACCCUACUGAACUUUCACCUCCAGCUGACGAGCACGUAUUCCCACUCACUAGUUCCAGCUGGUACCAGAACGAGAGCGGGACUCCAGUUUACAAGAAUUAUUUGAAAUUGUUGAGAGAAUGCCGAAGAAUAUCAAGGGCCCUAAACUGUAAAUUCAUUUCAUUACAGGAGCUGGAUUCCAAUUUACAGAAAUUGAUUGGAAAAUCCGUUUCUGUAAACUGGAGUCCAGCUCCUGCAAUAAAAACAUUUAGCUGAGAUAAAUAUUUAUUUACAAAAAUCA